rnacentral:rRNA from 1 species
UACGUAGGGGGCAAGCGUUGUCCGGAAUCAUUGGGCGUAAAGCGCGUGUAGGCGGCUCGAUAAGUCUGCUGUGAAAGUCCAAGGCUCAACCUUGGGAUGCCGGUGGAUACUGUCGAGCUCGAGUCCGGAAGAGGAGUGUGGAAUUCCUGGUGUAGCGGUGAAAUGCGCAGAUAUCAGGAGGAACACCAAUGGCGAAGGCAGCACUCUGGG